GGCCCCAGGGCACACCUGAUCUCAGGCUUUCUCUUCAAGCACACCGUUCAUUAAUCUGUUAAAAGGCCUAGCUCAUGUGUGAAGAUAGAAGCUUCCUCCAGUGAAGCAGCAGCCCCGGCACUGGGCCUGCAGUGGAGACCGGGAAUGAGAGAAGCCCCUGGCGUGGGCUGGCAAGGACGCAGAGCACGGAGAGCACCUGGGGCAGGGCCGGCGCCAACGGCAUAACACAUGCUGCUGCUCCUCUCCCGCGGGGCCCAUGGAGAUGGCUGGAAGCAGCCCAACGUCAGGGCAGAUCCCUACCUUCACACUCACAUAAGAGAAGAGUGAAGUUUCGGGGACUCCACACCUCAAGGUAGUUCCACCGUGCGAGGUGCUGCGCUCACAGUAUUACUCAUGCACCUUUCUGAUAAGAAAAGUGAAAAUGUGAAGUUGAAAACUGAAGACGCCCAGCAACUUCCUGAAUCCAGCCCUCCACGUCCUGCCCUACGGGACGGACGACUCCCAAAGAGGAAUCGUUGGUGGAAGUCCCAUGUUUCGUUGCCGUUGGAAGGGGGAACUGGUCAAGGGCUCAUCUCUGGACCCACACCCCAUAACCAACAUGGAAGCCUGGAUUUGGCCCUGGAUCAGGCUGGCUCCCCAGGGAAGGGUCCAGUCUCUCCGGGGAGACAUCCCGACUUCGGGUCCUGCUUUCUCUACUGUAAUUCGAGGCUGGCCAUGCCCCUCAGUGGGCCUCAGUUUCCUCACCUGUACAGUGGGGAAAUCCAUAGGACCUACCUCCUGGGAGGGCACUGAGGACCGAGGGAAUGAAUGCCUGUCCAGUGCUCAUGAUCGUGACAAGCACUGCGCAGAAUAAAUCCGGAAUAAACGCUCACCGGGUGAGGGAGGGCAGGGAAG
ensembl:lncRNA novel transcript